GCCACUCUCCUAUCACCUCAACACUUGAAGCCGCCUUGGACAUUGCUUCUUCAUCCUUCAUCAUACUUCUCAACAGGUUGCUUCCUCUUCUAGAAUAACCACCAAUCUCUCUUGGAUCAUGUAAGCUUCAACACUCCCCCUCAAGCUUGGGACUCUCACAGGAACAAGCUUGAAUGGAUUGCUUCAUGAUCCUCACACACACACCAUUGCCGCUUCUCUUCUGAUCUUGCCAUCUUGAUGGAAUGCUUGUGGAAGCUUCAGCUAUCUCUCCAAUCACCUCACUCUUGAAGCCGCCUUGAUAGAGUAGCCUUCAUCUUCUCACAGCCAAGAGUACUCUGUCUUAGUUUGAGUACUCUCUU
rnacentral:lncRNA from 1 species